rnacentral:rRNA from 1 species
UCCACGCCCUAAACGAUGUCAACUAGCUGUUGGGGCCUUCGGGCCUUAGUAGCGCAGCUAACGCGUGAAGUUGACCGCCUGGGGAGUACGGUCGCAAGAUUAAAACUCAAAGGAAUUGACGGGGACCCGCACAAGCGGUGGAUGAUGUGGAUUAAUUCGAUGCAACGCGAAAAACCUUACCUACCCUUGACAUGUCUGGAAUCCCGAAGAGAUUUGGGAGUGCUCGCAAGAGAACCGGAACACAGGUGCUGCAUGGCUGUCGUCAGCUCGUGUCGUGAGAUGUUGGGUUAAGUCCCGCAA